AUGGCAUUUCCUGUUGCCGCACAGCUGUUGGGUGUUCACCAUUCAACAACAAUUCAACAAAUAUUUAUUGAGCCUAACUUUAGGCUUGGCCACAAGAGACAAAUUGCAAGGCAUGGAGACAUUUUUCUAACACUUGAAAAUUCUAUGCAAGAGCACCAGGCAGCUCAGUCACCUUGUCACUUAUCUACUGGGUCACCUUGUUGGCAUGGGAUGCCAGCCAGGCUUGCAGCUGCUCCAUCCUCCCCUGAAUUUGUACUUCAGCUUCUCCACUCAUGGCCUGCCCUGAGGACUUCAUGGUUCAGCAUCAGAUAUGAAGACGACAGCCCUAUAGAGACUAUUUAACCAGCUUCUAAGGUGGUUAAAUAUCUUACCAGCCUAUGUAAGGCCGAAUCCUACUAACAAAGCACUGGUAUAUGUAAUAUCCCAGUGGUUUGCUUCUCUAAUUGAACCCUGACUACUACAGAAGUCCAGAUACCACAGUCUGAGUAGUUCUUUAAUCUGCUUAUCUGGUGAUUCCAUCACAAAUGGUUCAGGUGAUGCUGAUGUCUUCAUACCUCCUCUUCACCCUUCAGAAGAGGUCCUCUUGCUUCUAGAAAGAGAAUACAAAUAGCUACAUUCCUACUCAGUGGGAGAAAGUGAGACUGUUCCAGAAGAUGAGGACUUAGGCUGGUAAUGUCCUGAGGAAAUGACUAUGCCAACCUAGAGAUCCCCUUGUGUGUGUGAUGCAGGCCUCUGAAGGAAAAGGUGCACAUUUUCAACAAUAAAAGAGAGACAUUCCUUUAGUGUAUCUCCACAUUCCCUGAAGGGGAGCUGGAAUGACAUGACGGACUUGGCCUCAGGGCCCCAAGCCUUCCCUGUUGCAGUCUUCAUGACACUCCUCAGAAGCAGCAACUCCAGCCAUGUCUGGAACCAUUCCUUACCAGACAGGAGGAUAUCAUGGCCUCAACUCAUGAUCUGUACCAAGCCAAACCUCUUUUGGGGUACCCACCAAGCCUCAGGCCUCACCUUCUCUGCCCUGUUGUCCCUGCCCAUCUGUCCUGGUUUUCUACUAGUUUCCACUACUGGACACUUGUCUGAGGCUGGGUCCCCACCUGGAUCUUGUGGCCUCUUGCCCAGGGCUUGGAGGGAAGCUGCUCCCACACUUGAAGAUGACAGCUGAGCAUGGUCCUUUGUGGGCGUGCUGUCAGGAAGAUGACAGUGCAAUCUGUUUAAUGUGCCAGUUGUCUCUGUGAGUCCCUCAUCCGGAUGAGCACUUGUCACACCCCUGCAGAGCCCCAGCUGGUUCUUAGAGAGGUGCUCCAGCUCUGUGAUUACCUAAUCUGGCUUCCCAAUCUAUCCCACAAUGUGUCAUUGCUGAGGUCCCUGUGGGUCUUGCAGAUAAACUUGCUACAGUCAUCCUA
ensembl:lncRNA LINC00858 long intergenic non-protein coding RNA 858